rnacentral:rRNA from 1 species
CCAGGGGAAGGUUCGUCCGCCCUGGGUUAGUCGGGACCUAAGCUGAGGCCGAAAGGCGUAGGUGAUGGACAACAGGUUGAUAUUCCUGUACUACCGAUAACCGUUUGAGAGAAGGGAUGACACAGUAGGAUAAGCUAAGCACACUGUUGGUUAUGUGUGCCCAAGCAUUGAGGCAGUCAAAGUAGGCAAAUCCGCUUUGAUAAUGCUGGGAUGUGAUGGGGAGCGAAAUUUAGUAGCGAAGUAGCUGAUUUCACACUGUCAAGAAAAGUCUCUAUCGAGGUUAAAGGUACCCGUACCGCAAACCGACACAGGUGGGUGAGGAGAGUAUCCUAAGGCCAGCGAGAGAACUGUUGUUAAGGAACUCGGCAAAAUGACCCCGUAACUUAGGGAUAAGGGGUGCCACCAUCAGGUGGCCGCAGAGAAUAGGCCCAAGCGACUGUUUACCAAAAACAUAGGUUUCUGCUAAGUCGCAAGACGAUGUAUAGGAGCUGACGCCUGCCCGGUGCUGGAAGGUUAAGGGGAUCUGUUAGAG